rnacentral:lncRNA from 1 species
GGUUUUUCAACGCCGCUUUGAAGAGCCGUAUUUGGGCUAUUUCGUGGCGACCGGUAUUUUAUUGUUUUUCUUUUCUUUUCGUUGAAGACUUAAAUAUCUCAUAAAAAGGACUACAAUUAAGGAUGUACUUAGGUGAGGUUAGGUGAAAAUUAAUAAAUUAAGAAGUUAAAAUUGAUACUAUAAGCUAGUAGAGCAUCAAUUAAGGAAUAAAAUGAGGUAAAAAUAUUGAUAGGUCAUGGACCUCCUUUUCAAGAUAUUUGAGAUUUAAAAUAUGGCGGGAAAAGGCUGACUCGGACUUUUACCUUAUAUUUGCAUUGGUAUUAUUAGGUCUCAAAACAAAAGAAAGAAAAUUAAGAAUCUUCUAAAAUUUUGGUAAAUGACCUUUCAUGAACUAUUAAGUCUUAUAUGAAAAAAUAAAUGGGUGUUAUGGGGCAAAAUAUUUUACAUUGUAUUGUAUGGAAAAACACCAAGGAGUCCGAACAUUAGACACAACAUCCAAAACCUCACCUAAGUACAUCCUUAAGGAAAAUUCUAGAUAACUUUU